rnacentral:tRNA from 1 species
GGUGACUGAGCUCAGUUGAUAGAGUGUUUGACUGACAUUCAAGAAGCCCUGGGUUUGAGCCCCAGAACCA